rnacentral:ncRNA from 1 species
UUUCGGGAGGAGCAGACGUAAAAGAACACCAACAAAACUACUUAUGAGAAGCAACCUCGUAAAAAGCGUA